rnacentral:rRNA from 1 species
UAGGGAAUCUUCGGCAAUGGACGAAAGUCUGACCGAGCAACGCCGCGUGAGUGAAGAAGGUUUUCGGAUCGUAAAACUCUGUUGUUAGAGAAGAACAAGGACGUUAGUAACUGAACGUCCCCUGACGGUAUCUAACCAGAAAGCCACGGCUAACUACGUGCCAGCAGCCGCGGUAAUACGUAGGUGGCAAGCGUUGUCCGGAUUUAUUGGGCGUAAAGCGAGCGCAGGCGGUUUCUUAAGUCUGAUGUGAAAGCCCCCGGCUCAACCGGGGAGGGUCAUUGGAAACUGGGAGACUGGAGUGCAGAAGAGGAGAGUGGAAUUCCAUGGGUAGCGGUGAAAUGCGUAGAUAUAUGGAGGAACGCCAGUGGCGAAGGCGGCUCUCUGGUCUGUAACUGACGCUGAGGCUCGAAAGCGUGGGGAGCAAACAGG